rnacentral:rRNA from 1 species
AGUGAAUAGAUACCCGGGUAGUCCACGCCGUAAACGAUGAGCACUAGUUAUUGGGGGUAUUGACUCCCUCAGUGACGCAGCUAACGCAUUAAGUGCUCCGCCUGGGGAGUACGGUCGCAAGACUAAAACUCAAACAAAUUGACGGGGGCCCGCACAAGCGGUGGAUUAUGUGGUUUAAUUCGAAGCGACGCGCAGAACCUUACCUAGGCUUGAACUCCUACGAACCCGUUGUAAUGGACGGGGUGUCCGCAAGGAAAUGUAGUGAGAGGUGCUGCAUGGCUGUCGUCAGCUCGUGUUGUGAAAUGUUGGGUUAAGUCUCGCAACGAGCGCAACCCCUAUCGUCUGUUGCCAGCAUUAAGUUGGGCACUCUGACGAGACUGCCUGGGUUAACCCAGGAGGAAGGUGGGGAUGACGUCAAGUCCUCAUGGCCCUUAUGUCUAGGGCUACACACGUAAUACAAUGGCGCGUACAGAGGGAUGCGAACUAGCAAUAGGGAGCAAAUCUCAAAAAGCGCGCCUCAGUUCGG